rnacentral:rRNA from 1 species
UACGUAGGGUGCAAGCGUUGUCCGGAAUUAUUGGGCGUAAAGAGCUCGUAGGCGGUUUGUCGCGUCGAAUGUGAAAACCUGGGGCUCAACCCCGGGCCUGCAUUCGAUACGGGCAGACUAGAGUUCGGUAGGGGAGUCUGGAAUUCCUGGUGUAGCGGUGAAAUUCGUAGAUAUCGAGAGGAACACCGGUGGCGGAGGCGGCCUUCUGGACAGUGACGUGACGCUGAGACGCGAAAGCGUGGGGAGCAAACAGG